UAAGGAAUAUUGGUCAAUGGGCGCAAGCCUGAACCAGCCAUGCCGCGUGAAGGAUGACGGCCCUAUGGGUUGUAAACUUCUUUUGUACGGGAAAAAACCUCUGGUCGUGUACCAGAGCUGAUGGUACCGUAAGAAUAAGCAUCGGCUAACUCCGUG
rnacentral:rRNA from 1 species